UUAUUAUUAUUAGUAUACAUAAGAUUAUUAGUUUAAUUUCAAUUUCUGAGCUCACAGUUCAGUUCAACUUACAUCAGUAACAAGGUGAUAGUAAUCUUUUUAAUGUAAUAACUGUUGUAAAAAAUUCACCCCCAUGAAUAUUCACAAUAGCGCAUUAAAAACGGUUGCGGUUUACAAAUAUGGGUAGACUUGUGAAAAAAAAAAAAGAGAUCGACCUAGUGCCUUCGCGCAUUGGUUUAAUGUGUAGGAACAUAUCAAGAAGCUAAUGAAUGUUAGUUGGAAUAUUUGCUUAUUCUACACAAAGCGAGGAGACAAGCAUAAUCGAAGGCUGCUGAUGAUGUGAACCUUUUUAGGAAAACAUUUAGACAAGAAUUGUUACAAGCGUUGAACGAAAUUAACAUUGAUUUAAGUUCGAAUAUGAUUGUAAAUAAGGAUCAUGAACUGCAUCACAAAAGUCAUUUGAAAAUAAAUCAACCAGGGAAAACAACCACUUAAAAGUUCAGUGAAAUUAACUUCCAAAAGUGCAACAAAAACAGAUGGUAAGUACGCUAAAAGUGUUUUUGUAUACUGUUUUCGUUUUUAGACGAAGAAGAUAGUAACCAUUCAUUCACCUCAGAUGACGAAAGUUGUAACCUUGCAACAACGAAAAAGAAAAAGAAAAUUAAUAACAAAAAAAUCAUAAGAAAGUCUCGAAUAUCUUCAUCUAGUGGAUCUGAUUAAAUAAUUCAAUAACACUGACUCUUCAAGAAAAAUUACAUAAAAAUUUAAAUUCAUUGACAUCCGUCGACGAGUAAAUAUAAAACUAAACAAUAGGAAGGUGCUCAAGUUGAACAACUAAACCGUUUGAUGGAUGCCCGAUUUAAGAGUAUUUAAUUUAACUCAAAUCUAAUACAAUAAGCAGCCAGAAUAAUAAUUAAAUA